UGGGGAAUAUUGGACAAUGGGGGGAACCCUGAUCCAGCCAUGCCGCGUGUGUGAAGAAGGCCUUAUGGUUGUAAAGCACUUUAAGCGAGGAGGAGGGUACUGGUAUUAAUACUACCAGGUACUGGACGUUACUCGCAGAAUAAGCACCGGCUAGCUCUGUGCCAGCAGCCGCGGUAAUACAGAGGGUGCGAGCGUUAAUCGGAUUUACUGGGCGUAAAGCGUGCGUAGGCGGCUAAUUGAGUCGGAUGUGAAAUCCCCGAGCUUAACUUGGGAAUUGCAGUCGAUACUGGUUAGCUAGAGUGUGGGAGAGGAUGGUAGAAUUCCAGGUGUAGCGGUGAAAUGCGUAGAGAUCUGGAGGAAUACCGAUGGCGAAGGCAGCCAUCUGGCCUAACACUGACGCUGAGGUACGAAAGCAUGGGGAGCAAACAGG
rnacentral:rRNA from 1 species